UAUAGCAAAGUGACUCAUUUAUAGGUAUAUAUAUUCUUGUUCAUAUUCUUUUCCAUUAUGAUUUAUCACAGGAUAUUGAAUGCAGUUCCCUGUGCUAUACAGUAGGACCUUGUUGUUUAUCCUUCCUAUAUAUACUAGUUUGCAUCUGCUAAUCCCAAACUCCCUCCCCCAAAUCCCCUCCCCCUUGGCAACCACAAGUCUGUUCUCUGUGUCUGUGAGUCUGUUUCUGUUGUGUAGACAUAUUCAUUUGUGUUGUAGUUUGGACUCCACAUACUCUAUCACUUUAAAUAUGUACAAAGUUGCUCUUUUUAUGUAUAACUGUGUGCACGAUAUGUUAACAUUGUCUGAUCCUUUUUUACUGUUUCUGUUGCUCUUCCCAGUUAUGGAAACUGCUAUAAACUUUGAGUAGGAUUGUCUGUGUAUUUGUCUGUGUUCUUUUUAGAUGAAUUCUAGUUCAAGUAAACUGGAGUGAAACCCAAGCUCUACCAUUUUAUGAAUGUUUGACAAAAUAUUCUCAAAAAAAGGAAGAGUAACAUUAUGUUUCUUCAAUUAUUUAUGUGGUGCAUUCAAUAAUAUGUUAAAAAAGGUAGAAAGCUAUAUUAUAUAUCAUAAAUAUUGAGAAAGAAUUGUUGCCGGUAUGCUUACUAUUCUAUUAGACCUGCAAAAUCCAUUAAACACUUUAAGUUCAAAGUUAACCAUAGAUUGUUACCAUGCUGUUCUACUGUUAUGGUAUCAAAAUAUGUGGUACAUGGACCAGAGACAUUGGCAUUACUAGUUAAAAGUGAGCUUGUUAAAAAUGUGGAACUCAGGCUCCACUCCAGAGCUCUUGAGUCAAAAAUCUGCAUUUUUACAUUAUCCCCAGUUUGCUUUCUUAUGUAUUAAAAUAUGACAGUUUUACUUCUAACUCAUUAUGACUUUUCCACCUGAGAAAUAUAUACAGUUUAUCCUGUGUAAUGGAAGUACAACAUUCAAAAAUGCAUAUGCCUGUGUUGAUGCCAUCAUUUUAUAAUUUCUCUUCAAGAUAAUAAUAGUCUCUACAGUGGUGUCAUGAAUCAUAUGUCAUCCUCUUUUCUUGGAGUUAGAAAUAUGACACAGAACAUUUCUGUGUAAAAAAAAUUAUUUUAUUGCAUAAUUCAAGACACUGUCCUAAAUCAAACCAGUUCUCUUAACUUGCUGUUUUCAUCUUGGGUCAAAUAAUGAACUCUUCCCAUUGCCACUUGGCAAAUGUACUCUUUAAUCUCAGGGACUGUUGACAUUCACAAAUGUGGCCAUAGAAUUUUCUCAGGAUGAGUGGGAAUGCCUGAUCUUGUUCACAAGAAUGUGAUGUUAGAGAACUAUAGGAACCUGGUCUCCUUGGGUGUGGAUAACUUCCUUCCAGAAUUCCUUAUCCGUCCACAGGGUUUUGGUUCCUUCGUUUGUAGAAAGUCUCCUGGAAUCUUCUGUGUCCUACAAUAGAGUUUCAGAUCCCUGCUUUCAAGGAAAAAAUGGGAGUUUGUGGAUAUAGACAGAAAGGCUGCAUGAUGAUUCAUCAUAAUUCCGACCUUCUUUCUUGAGGUCCCCUUUUUGGAGUAAAAGAAGAAUCCCUGAGAUGUGAAGGGAAUGGAGACAGUAGCUGUAUAACCAGGUACGUGCGAAUGGAUGAAGCAGAUGACACAGGUGCGAGGUCCAAAGAUCGCAGAGGAAGUCAUAUCUUAUAAUAUGGCUUGGGAAGGCAUGCUUCAAUGGAAAUGAUAUUUGCGAAGCCUAGAUUUAUUUCUGUUGCUGUCAUAGAGGGGCAUCUCCUGCUCCCGUCUUAGGCUCUUAAAUCCUCCGUGUAUUCGUCUUCAGCCCCAGUGAUUAUCCCUCACAUUCACAGUGAGAGCCAAAAUCCUCCUCUUGGCCUGUGAUGACCCUCAUGACCUGACUGCUGUUCAGUUGCUUUGGAGGUUCUAGGGAAAACUGUUUACAUUUCUGAGUAACUCUGUGUUAAGUUCUGUUUCUGCCUCAAGUCAGAACUGUGUGAGGAGAAUCAUGGAGAUAUUGGGAUUAGGUGACAAAAUUCUUGGAAUACCCAAUCCAAUGGAAACUUCAAACAUGACCCUACAAAGUUCAGACUCAGUCAUUUCAUCAUAGCAUCAAGCAUCUCCCCAGAAUUAUAGAAUGUAAUUGUCCAUUUUACUUCCAAUGAACUAACAUGAGACAUUUUUACUUUCUAUGAACUAACGUGAGACAUUUUAAGUGUACUUUCCCAAUCUAUCAAUGGUAGAAUAACUUAAUAUGUUUAUUUAUCUCAUAGAAGUCUUGAAUAUGUUCAUUCCAUAGCAGCGCUUGGAACAUUGGCUACCGUAUUUUAAAGUCCCAAUUGUUGUUUAGUUUCCUAAUAACUGUAAUUUUAUAAGUCUGCCUUAUUUAAUAUGGCGUUAUGCUUGCUGUGUCCUGUAUUUUUUCACUUUCUCAUUAGUUCUGUGUCAAAAUCAUACAUGAUUUUAGAUUCAAAAGAUCUAGUAUAACAUGCUCAGAUGAAAACGUCUUUGGUAAGAAGGGCCUUAGAUAAUUAGAAGGCACCCUGUAUUUGUGAAAAUCUGUGGUUCCUUUCUCCAACCAAAAAGUAGUCAUCUUAUUCAUUUACUUUCCUCAGUGUGUAUCUGAAUCAUGGUAUGAUGUGAUCACAACUAUUAUUUUAUAUAUCGAUGAUUCUCUGCAGAUUUUACAACUUUCAUGUUCUUUUAUUUUUAAAUAAGGUUUUAUUUUUCUUCUAAAGUAUGGGUUACAGCCUUGAUAAUUUGUGUAUGUAUAGCAGUAAUAAUAACAUGACAAAUUUCUCUGCUGUUAUUUAAAUAAUUCAUUCAAAUUUUCCAUUAGAGAUUUUUAAAUGAUUCAUUGUAAUGCAUUUUCUGUGAAAUUCUCCUGCCUUGCAACACAUGCCAGUGAUUCAGAAUGGUUGCUUUAUGCGUGCAUAAACCAUUUCGAAAUUAUAGUAUUUAGAAGGAUUAUAUUUUAAUAGUAUAUACAUGAUUUUUCAGAAAUUGAGAGUAAAAUUUUCUCUUAUUCUUGUUUAGCAAUUCCAUAACUAUUUGCUUUUUUUUUUUAAAUGAUAGGUUCUCCCGAGUUAGUUAAUUGUAUUUUUGUCUUUACCUGUAUUUCAUGAAUGUACAUGGCAAUUUUCAACUCAGUACACUUAAGACAGUGUGGUGUUGCAUUCAAAUUUGAAUGUCCCAUAUGUCCACUGCCAAUAAAAUUAUGCAUGUCUUUGUCUUUUAA